GUCUGAUGUGAAAGCCCCGGGCUCAACCUGGGAAGUGCAUUGGAAACUGGCAGACUUGAAUACGGGAGAGGGUAGUGGAAUUCCUAGUGUAGGAGUGAAAUCCGUAGAUAUUAGGAGGAACACCGGUGGCGAAGGCGGCUACCWAWACCGAUAUUGACGCUGAGACGCGAAAGCGUGGGGAGCAAACAGGAUUAGAUACCCUGGUAGUCCACGCCGUAAACGAUG
rnacentral:rRNA from 1 species